GGACGGAAGUAAGAGCACGCGCGUGCGCACAUAUAAGAGGCGGGACGGGUCUCGUCUGCCGAGGUCGGUGCCAGGAGCAUCAGGCUUUGCCUGCGUGGCAGUGCUUUGGUGUAUGUUCUCUUCCGGGCUGUCGCGCGGACCCCGGCUGGCGGUCCUAUACAGUGCUGUGCCGUGCAACCCACCCUCGACUUCUCGGUACGCUUUCCAUGUAGCAGGCACCAGGCAUAUCCCCCAAACAGAGGACUAAAAGAAAUGUCCUCAAUCCCUUCCAUUGCAGUAAUAAACAUCAGAAACGUCACUGGCUGUGGCCAGGCCCAGUAACCCCUGAUAUGGGCACACUUGUUCGACAAGCCCAGCGGUCAGAUGCUGUCAUCCGGUCCCAUUCGCCUGCACUGACGCAGUGGCUCUACAGGCGGCAGGUCCUUCUGUCUGGAUUACCACCAGGAGGUGCUGCACGGAUUUAGGGUGGGUCUUCCUGCUUCAUUUAAUCCGCUCCAGAAAAUCUGUCACAAGGAGCACCCAGUAGCUUGUGUUUUAGUUGACUCCAGAUGAAGUUAAUUUCACAACCAAGGAUAUUCACAACGAUGCCAAAGACAAAGCAAACAUGGUAAAGAAGAUUUAAGGGAUCCAGUUGAAGAGUGUCCAGAAAGUCCUGCGCUGUCCUUGUCCUUCAGGAAGCCCAGGAAUGUGGGAAGAGGAACGCUUGCAAGCGUGACUCGCUGAGAUGACGUGCUCAGCCUCACAGCUGUGAGAUGGUUUGGCUCUGGUGUCCAGUCUCCCCAUGAGUCCUGAGAGAGAGCUCAGUGGGGAAAGGCGUCUGCUGCCAAGCCCGCUGACCUGAGUUUGAUGCCCAGGACCCACAUGGUGGGAGAGAACCAAGUUGCUGUCUCACCUUCAUAUGCACACAGUAACAUACAUGCCAACCCCUGCAUACUCACAUGUAUGUAGGCACACUAACACAUAAUAAUAUUAUUAAAAUAUACAUAUUUAUAAUACAAUUUUAAGAUUUUUUUUACA